rnacentral:rRNA from 1 species
AGUGAACGCUGGCGGUAGGCCUAACACAUGCAAGUCGAACGGCAGCACAGUAAGAGCUUGCUCUUACGGGUGGCGAGUGGCGGACGGGUGAGGAAUACAUCGGAAUCUACUUUUUCGUGGGGGAUAACGUAGGGAAACUUACGCUAAUACCGUAUACGACCUACGGGUGAAAGCAGGGGAUCUUCGGACCUUGCGCGAUUGAAUGAGCCGAUGUCGGAUUAGCUAGUUGGCGGGGUAAAGGCCCACCAAGGCGACGAUCCGUAGCUGGUCUGAGAGGAUGAUCAGCCACACUGGAACUGAGACACGGCCCAGACUCCUACGGGAGGCAGCAGUGGGGAAUAUUGGACAAUGGGCGCAAGCCUGAUCCAGCCAUACCGCGUGGGUGCAGAAGGCCUUCGGGUUGUAAAGCCCUUUUGUUGGGAAAGAAAAGCAGCAGGUUAAUACCCCGCUGUUCUGACGGUACCCAAAGAAUAAGCACCGGCUAACUUCGUG